GCCUGGGUGGCUCAGUCAGUUAAGCAUCUGACUUUGGAUCAGGUCAUGAUCUCACGGUUCAUGGGUUCGAGCCCCGCAUCAGGCU
rnacentral:tRNA from 1 species